GGGGAGGAUUGAUUUGGCUUCUCACAUACGCUAUUCUAUACUCUCUCUCUCAUUCUUUCCAAAUCGUUCAAAGCAUUAUCCAAAACCUUGCUCCUUACCUUUUCAAUGGUGAUUCCUGCUCCUUACCCUUUCAAUCGAUCCUGUGCACAAACCCUAAUUUUGAUAUCUAUUUUUCUAGUCAUUUCACUCCGAAUCUCAACGAAGACAUCAAUCAUUCAUCAUCGCAAACCCUAAUCGCAUCAAAAAUCAUUGAGCAUGAGCAUAUUCUGGUGUAAGUUAUUGAUUAUUGGUAUAAAACAUCUCAUCAAUUUCAUCAUUCGUCCACCAGGUGAUUGUUUACAUUAUCCCCUUUUGAAUUUCGCUCAAUCCUUUUCUUCAUCGAUUCUGAAGUGUUGAUUUGUUGAGUUUUGCCCUUUCGUUGAUCAUCUAUCGUAUCUAUCUUGACAUUUGGUUUUUUUUAUUUCCAUUAUUUCAGUUUUCAGCGUUUGUUCAUCAUUCAAUGGACUUUUGUGUUGCAAGGGUUGAUUUGUGGUUUAUGUCAGACUGAUUUGAGGAGUCUUAGGAAUUAGGAUUUUGUUUCGGUACCUAUUUUCAAAUCGACCGAAUAUGCCUAUGAAACGCUCAAAAUGUAGGUUGUUUGGUAUCAAAGUUGAAGAUGGAUGGCUAAGCUUUUAAACAAUUGUGUGGCGGCAGUAUGGAGUUGGUAUAAGGGGCGUCUAGAUGAUGGUGGGGCUGCAACAGUGAAAGCUAUAAUGCAUUGGCAGUACCGAACCAUUUCCAGAGGACACAACUCGAUACUACACAAUCUCAAUGCACUUCUUGGCCCUAAAACAGAAGAUUAUAUAUUAUUUUAUGGCCUCAGGACGUAUGGCAGACUUGGUGAUGAUGAUCCCAUUGUUACAAGUCAGGUAGGUGUAUGUGCAUAGUAAAGUGAUGAUUGUGGAUGACCGUAUCACGUUAAUUGGAUCAUCCAACAUAAAUGACAGGAGUUUGCUUGGGCAUAGGGGUUCUGAGAUUGGGGUUCAUAUUGAAGAUAGAGAAUUUACCGAAUCAACGAUGAAUGGAGAAUCUUGGAGUGCCGGGAAAUUCGCUAAUAGUCUCCGGCUUUCUCUAUGGUCUGAACAUCUUGGUCUUCAUGGUGGAGAUAAGUUGUAUUAGAGACCAUGUGGCUGAAAGCACAUACAAAGAUUUGUGGUUAGCAACUGCAAAGGAAAACUCCCAAAUUUGAUCUUCAAGUGAUAAUGUUAAUGCAAUUGGGGGAUGUUUGGCGAGUAGGCCAACUUGGUCAACCGCGUCAGGCGCGGUCAACGCUGUUCAAAUGGUCUAUUUUAAAUAGUGUCUUGGUAGCUACAAAAUGAAUAAUCAAUCAACAUUGAAGUUGUCAUAUACUCAUAUACGUUACUGAAAGUAGAGAGUUACAUGCUCACUGUGGAUACACACAUAUAUGGUUGAUAUAAGAUGAUUUUAGGGUGAUAUUAUUAUUGUAUUUGUAGGUGGCUUUUGGUCUAUAAAUUAGGAUUCGGGGUGCCCGGUGCGAUGUGUGCGUUGUCGGCGUCGUCUUGGUUUCUUGUGAUCGGAGAAUUUAUUUACAUUUUUUGUGGUUGGUGUCCUUAUUCAUGGAAAGGGUUUACAGUUGCUGCAUUUAAAGAUUUGGUUCAUGUUGUGAAGCUUUCAAUAUCAUCUGGUGUUAUGGUCUGCUUAGAUCUAUGGUACAACGCAGUGCUGGUCUUACUUGCUGGAUACAUGGCGAAUGCAGAAGUUGCCAUUUAUGCCUUUUCCAUAUGCUUGAACAUCAAUGCAUGGGAGUUUAUGAUAAGCCUCGACUUCUUAGGCGAUGCAUGGUAAUAAAAAGACCCGUAAAUGUGGAUAUGUAUGGU